GUUUGAUCUCAAAUCAGG
rnacentral:rRNA from 2 species